rnacentral:lncRNA from 1 species
GUCUAGCCCUUCAGUGGUGUUUCUUAGACCUGCACUGCCUCCACAACCGCACUGGAAGGAGAGAAGCGAACUCAGGACUCCAGCCCCAUGAAAGCCUUCUCAGGAAGAUAUGGCCACUCAGCCUCUGGGGUUGAUUCAGAAGAAGGUGCCAUAUGCCCCUUGUGUGGCUUGGUGCAUGUUUUCCAGGCCCAACUCUUGAUCACCAUCAGACUUCUAUUAUUUGCAAUCAGUAACAAAGAUUCAUCCUUGUGUCCAUCAAGCAACAAGGAGAAUCUUUGUCACUUAGUGUAAUUAAUAGCUGCGCUUCGCGUGGGAAGACGAAAGAAGGAUGCCUUUCGCACAUAGACUUGGGUGAAUUCAGAACAGGCUUCACGGAUCCUUGCUGCCUUUUGACCAACUACAAGGCCAGAACUCCAAGAAGUGGGCAGAUGGCUCCCUCUUUUCUCUCCAGUCCUCAUCGGUAAACAGCCUUCAAAAGCAUUCUCGUUGGCUCAAAAAUAUCUACAAACAAAAAGUAUGAAACGAGCAUCUUGGUGCAAAUGGUGCAUCGCAUCAUCUUGACACUGAAUCCUCUUCUUCCUGUUGCUGAUGGGACAUCCACUGAGUGAGGCAAGCACAGUUCUACACUAAGCCCCAAGGAGGAGUUCCUUGGGAUUGAAAUUCAGUGUUAUAAAACUCAAAACGCCUUUGACAUAGUGGACUAUGUUCCUGACCAAGUUACUAAACAAUGUUUUCUAAUAAGAAUAAUAGUGAGGGUAAUAAUAAUAAUUAGUAUCAUUCUAUUCUAAACCUUUUAAAUGUAUUAACUCAUUUAACCCUCACAACUUUAUGAGAGGUCUUAUGAUUAUUUCCAGUUUACAACAGAAGAAACCAAAGCUCAGAGAGACUAAGUCAUUUGUCCAAGGUCACAUAGCUGGUAAGCUGCCAAAUUCAAAGCCAGGAGAUCUGACUCCGAAGUCCACAUUUUUAAUAACCACACUAGACUUCCAAACUAUACCUUCCUAGGACUCAGACAGCAGUCUCUAUCUGCUAGGCAGUUGGAAUUGUUCUAACUAUCCUAACUGACUGGUUGGGACAUCACUGUAGACGCCACAUUGUUUUUGUUUAAAAUCCCAUUACCUGAGUUUCAUGAGGCAAACACCUGUUGAAAAGUCAG